AUGACAGAGAUGAUGGUGAUUUCGCUGUUUAUGAAGGAAUCGAAGAGAGGCUUGCGCGGAGGAGAUUUUGGAGGUCGCGGCGAGUUGCGGUCGAGAAGAGGUGUGGCUCGGUUACAGAUGGUGUUUCUGGCGAAGAUGAAGGUUUUUCGGCGAGGAAGGGUUCUCCGGUCAAGUUGGUCUAGCAGUAUGCUUGUUCCAUGGUUUUGUGCUAUGCAGGUUCCAUGGUUUUGUGAUUUGCAAUAUGCUAUGCAAAAUGGUUUAGCAGUAAUGCAGGUUUUGUAA